GGAACGAAGGAUGCAAGGCGUUAUCCGGAUUCAUUGGGUUUAAAGGGAGGCGUAAGGUGGUCUUAUAAGUCUAGUGGUGAAAUCUCUGGGCUUAAACCCACGGAAAUUGCCAUUGAUACUGUAGGACUUGAGUAAUAGUUGCCGUUGGCGGAAUGACGACAUGUAGUGGUGAAAUACAUAGAGAUGUCAUAGAACACCGAUUGCGAAGGCAGCUAACGAAACUAUAACUGACACUUGAGGCUCGAAAAGUGUGGGGAGU
rnacentral:rRNA from 1 species